rnacentral:misc_RNA from 1 species
GAUGAAGAACGCAGCGAAAUGCGAUACGUAAUGUGAAUUGCAAAUUCAGUGAAUCAUCGAGUCUUUGAACGCACAUUGCGCCCCCUGGUAUUCCGGGGGGCAUGCCUGUCCGAGCGUCAUUGCUGCCCUCAAGCACGGCUUGUGUGUUGGGCCCCGUCCUCCGAUCCCGGGGGACGGGCCCGAAAGGCAGCGGCGGCACCGCGUCCGGUCCUCGAGCGUAUGGGGCUUUGUCACCCGCUCUGUAGGCCCGGCCGGCGCUUGCCGAUCAACCCAAAUUUUUAUCCAGGUUGACCUCGGAUCAGGUAGGGAUACCCGCUGAACUUAAGCAUAUCAAUUAAGCGGAGGA